rnacentral:tRNA from 2 species
GCUAGUGUAGCUUAUUGAAAGCACAGCACUGAAAAUGCUAAGAUGAGAGGUAAAAUUUUCCCCCAGCA